rnacentral:rRNA from 1 species
GACGAACGCUGGCGGCGUGCCUAAUACAUGCAAGUAGAACGCACAGUUUAUACCGUAGCUUGCUACACCAUAGACUGUGAGUUGCGAACGGGUGAGUAACGCGUAGGUAACCUGCCUGGUAGCGGGGGAUAACUAUUGGAAACGAUAGCUAAUACCGCAUAAUAUUAAUUAUUGCAUGAUAAUUAAUUGAAAGGUGCAAUUGCACCACUACCAGAUGGACCUGCGUUGUAUUAGCUAGUAGGUGAGGUAACGGCUCACCUAGGCGACGAUACAUAGCCGACCGGAGAGGGUGAUCGGCCACACUGGGACUGAGACACGGCCCAGACUCCGACGGGAGGCAGCAGUAGGGAAUCUUCGGCAAUGGACGAAAGUCUGACCGAGCAACGCCGCGUGAGUGAAGAAGGUUUUCGGAUCGUAAAGCUCGGUUGUAAGAGAAGAACGGGUGUGAGAGUGGAAAGUUCACACUGUGACGGUAUCUUACCAGAAAGGGACGGCUAACUACGUG